CCUACGGGAGGCAGCAGUGGGGAAUAUUGCACAAUGGGGGAAACCCUGAUGCAGCAACGCCGCGUGAAGGAAGACGGUUUUCGGAUUGUAAACUUCUGUUCUUAGUGAAGAAUAAUGACGGUAGCUAAGGAGCAAGCCACGGCUAACUACGUGCCAGCAGCCGCGGUAAUACGUAGGUGGCAAGCGUUGUCCGGAAUUACUGGGUGUAAAGGGAGCGCAGGCGGGAAGCCAAGUCAGCUGUGAAAACUACGGGCUUAACUUGUAGACUGCAGUUGAAACUGGUUUUCUUGAGUGAAGUAGAGGUUGGCGGAAUUCCGAGUGUAGCGGUGAAAUGCGUAGAUAUUCGGAGGAACACCGAUUGCGAAGGCAGCUUACCAAGCUACUUCUGACGUUGAGGCACGAAAGCGUGGGGAGCAAACAGGAUUAGAUACCCCAGUAGUC
rnacentral:rRNA from 1 species